GUUUGAUCCUGGCUCAGAGCGAACGUUAGCGGCAGGCUUAACACAUGCAAGUCGAGCGAGAAAGGGGCUUCGGCUCCGAGUAAAAGCGGCGGACGGGUGCGUAACACGUGGAUAAUCUGCCUCGUGGCGGGGGACAACAGUCCGAAAGGACUGCUAAUACCGCAUGUCAGGUCGGAAACUCCGGUUUCUGACGAAAAAGAGGGCGCCCGCAAGGGGCUCUCACCACGAGAUGAGUCCGCGUCCCAUCAGCUAGUUGGCGGUGUAAUAGACCACCAAGGCUUAGACGGGUAGCUGGUCUGAGAGGAUGACCAGCCACACUGGGACUGAGACACGGCCCAGACUCCUACGGGAGGCAGCAGUGGGGAAUAUUGGACAAUGGGCGAAAGCCUGAUCCAGCCAUGCCGCGUGAGUGAUGAAGGCC
rnacentral:rRNA from 1 species